GAAAUACUCCCUCCGUCCGAAAAUACUUGUCAUCAAAAUGGACAACAAAGGAUGUAUCUAGAACUAAAAUACAUCUAGAUACAUCCCCUUUUAUUCAUUUUGAUGACAAGUAUUUCCGGACGGAGGGAGUACAUU
rnacentral:pre_miRNA from 1 species